AGCAGCCGCGGUAAUUCCAGCUCCAAUAGCGUAUAUUAAAGUUGUUGCAGUUAAAAAGCUCGUAGUUGAAUUUCGGGAUUGGCGCAUCGGUCGUGCCUCACGGGGUAUGAACUGGUGCAGUCAAUUUCUCACCUUCUGGAGAACCGCGAUGUCCUUAAUUGGGUGCCGCGGGGAACCAGGACCUUUACUUUGAAAAAAUUAGAGUGUUUAAAGCAGGCAUUUUUGCUUGAAUACAUUAGCAUGGAAUAAUAAAAUAGGACGGCAUGGUUCUAUUUUGUUGGUUUCUAGGACCACCGUAAUGAUUAAUAGGGAUAGUUGGGGGCAUUAGUAUUCAAUUGUCAGAGGUGAAAUUCUUGGAUUUAUUGAAGACUAACUACUGCGAAAGCAUUUGCCAAGGAUGUUUUCAUUAAUCAAGAACGAAAGUUAGGGGAUCGAAGACGAUCAGAUACCGUCGUAGUCUUAACCAUAAACUAUGCCGACUAGGAAUCAGACGAUGUUAAUUUUUAAUGUACUCGUUUCG
rnacentral:rRNA from 1 species